ACUCAGUGGACAGGUAUUACAACUGUAGCAGCAUAUUCCAGAUGGUGCGCCAAGCCGCAGAAGGCUACCACUCCCUAUUCACAUUAAUUUAUUUUCUUAUUUCUCUCCUUGUAUUCUUUCCCUCAUAGCUACCUUCAACGCUUUUCCUUUAAACUAGGAGAGGCAGAUGCGCAAGGCUAUCAACUUCUCCCUGAUUUUCAAUGGAUCAUCCAGCAGGAGGCAAUUAUCCUGAAGCAAAAUGGAUAGACGGUGGCGUCGAUUCUUACUCAUCGUGAAAACACAUAUGAAAAGUAGAAAAAGAUACGAGACACAUAAUAACAGUGGGAUGGCGUGAGACUACUUCAGCUAUAGCGUCUAACCAUUAGACAGUGGCUUGUGCCAGUAUGACUGAUCUGGGAAAUGAAUCGAUUGAGUAGGUGCAUAGGAACGAGAAGCAAGAAGGUUUCGUGUUAGAAUUCCAUUGGACAGAAAAUUUAUCUAAAUGUGAAUAAUACAGAAACCACUUUUUUGUGCCAAAUGGCAUUGAUUUCACUUAUUGCAUAUCAGGUGAUGACAGAGUUGACGCCUAUCCUAACGAUCGCAAGGCUCACAACACAAUAAAACACAGACCAAAUUGACCAUCAACACAACAAAUUUUACCUGCAAAAGAAAAAUUGAAAUUAUGCUUCUGACCACAGAUACAAAUAAUGGUCCCAGCUUCCAAAUGCACACAAUGAAUACAAACUGUUCUUGUGACAGAUGAUAGAUCUUUACCAGGGCCGCUAAGAGCUGGGUACUUGAGUGAAUGAGAGAAUUAUGUGGAAAACUCACCUGUAAUGUGUUUUUCUCCAUUUGGAGAAAUUCCCUCAAGACUUCUCUAAUUAUAUGGCAUCUCAGAUUGGAAACUUAAUGAGCAAGGAGUUUUGGUUGAAGAAUUCCUGAUCUACUUUUCUAUGAUGCAGCUCAUGGUUUCUGAAUACACAUUUUUCUUUAAGUUAUUGCUUUAUAUAUAUUCACACCAGAAUUUUCUCUUUGUGUUCAUUCCUCCUGGUGUAGAGAAAGACUGCAUUUCUAUUUUACUGAAUUUGCAUUUGCCAAAGGUGUGAUUAUGGGAUGUUUAU